UUCUCAAUGCCAAGCAGGAAAUUGAACUAAAUCUUUACCUGGAGAAGCCAGUGCAUUUUUUCCAAUUACCUAACUGACAAAAUGGUGUGAUCAGAGCUACAGAUCAAAACACACUCAGAAAUGUUUGACAAACAACAAUGAUAAUUGAAAAUCAACUGUCUCAAGAGUGGCUCUUCUGGUGCACUUUGGAACUGCCUGUGUAAACAUUUCUCUUGUGCAUUCUCCUCUGCCCUAAGCUGGAGGGAAAGUCUAGCCUGGAAAGAGGCAAGAUUACUUUAGCUUACCUUGGGUCUCAUGUAUUCAGCUUCCAGAGAUGGUGUGCUCUCUGCAGCCCUCUGCAGUGCCCUCUUGAUGUAGCUCGAGGGGAAAGCAUGCGAUUAGCAUACACUUAAAAAAAAUCUAUCAUCUUUCUUCUGGAUCCUGAACAUAACUCAUUCUGAAACUUCACUUCUACUCCCUGGGGAGUAGCAAGAGGCAGAGCGUGUGGAUCAGAAAAGAAAAUGGACAGAUAUGCAUGAAGUGCGGAUGAGAUAAUGCCUGGUUAUGUGUUGCCAAGGCUUCUCUUACCCUUGAUUUCUGCAUCUUCCCAGACCCCCUGAGAGGUCAGGAGUAGGUGGAAGCAUUCCUUCUUCAAAACAAGUUAGACCGGCUCAGAACAUGUCACUGUGAAAAGAAAAUGCCCCCAUGGAUGUACGAGGCUGGGUGCCAGUUCCCUCAGCCUUACCACCUGUUCUGGGCACCUAUUCAGUGUUUCAGAAUGAUCCUAUUAGCUGAGUCUUCUAGGUUAGAGAAAUGAUCGCAGGGGCAGAGGCGAAUGGAGUCCUCAGAGACGAAGCAGUCGGCUGAGAACAUCCAGUCGAAGGAAAGCGACAGGUGAUUGGAGGAAAGCAUCAUUGAGGUAAAGCCAUCAUUCCAAAAGCACUGAAGGCAACUUCACCUAAAACAGAGAGUCAGCUUUGAGCAAAUACACAGCUGGCCUCAGGCCACACAGCAAUCUGAGAUGGGCAGCUGAACCAAGAAGAAUAUCGACAUCAGCCCUUGACGCAAGCAACUGGGAAUUUAUCAAUCUCUGGGGUUAGGGGGAUGGGAUCCCAAUACUUAAAUUCAAUAGAGUAAUUGGAGUUUUUAAUUAAUAAUUUUAUUAUUUUCUUGAUUGAACACUGGCAUGGAAGAGGC
rnacentral:lncRNA from 1 species